rnacentral:rRNA from 1 species
UUGUGUGUGCCAAAGAAAGAAAGUGGAAUGAGAUUUCGAGAUAUUCAUUGUUUUAACCUAGCCCUGCUUGCGAAAUAGGCUUGGAUAUUAGUUGAUAAUCGGGAUUCCCUUUGUGCCUGUGUUCUCAAAGCCAAGUAUUAUCUAGAUUGUGGUAUUUAAAAUGCAACUCUGAAAAAGAGAGCCUCAUUCACAUGGCAAAGUAUUAUGUCGGGGGUGCAGACACUAAAAAAAGGUCAUAUAUGGAGGGUCGGUGAUGGUAGUCGAAUUAAUUUUUGGGAUGAUGAAUGGAUCCCUAACUCACCUACCAAGAAAGUGAUCACGACUCGUGGAGGCAAUUUACUAUCAAAGGUAAGUGAUUUCAUUGACCCUGUUACGGGUCGUUGUGAUGAAGAGUUGGUUUCUCAAACAUUCUGGCAAGUUGACGUGGCGCGGAUCCUUGCGAUUUCGUUGCCUGAAUUUGAUAUGUCGGACUUCGUAGCAUGGAACUUGUGCAAAAACGAGAGAUUUCUAGUGAGAUCGGCAUACUUUACGGAGUGGCACAGCCAAUAUGGAUAUAAAAUAUCAGGAGAAAAUACAGUCGGGCCCUUACGGAAUUCACCAAUAUGA